ACNGUGUGCUCCCGGUCUCAGUUGGC
rnacentral:piRNA from 1 species